GGCGAUCUGGGGUCGGAUUUGAAGACAUGGUUGAGCUCUACUUUCACUAAUCAGGACACAUGCAUAGAGGGAUUUGUUGGUACCAAUGGAAUUGUCAAGACAGUGGUAGCUGAAAGCCUGAGCCAAGUAGCUUCAUUAGUCCACAGCCUUCUUACUAUGGUCCAUGAUCCAGCUCCCAAAGGCAAAUCCAAUGGCGGUGGUGGCGGUGUGAAGCACGUGGGCAGCGGUGAUUUUCCAUCAUGGGUUGGCAAACACAGCAGGAAGCUCCUUCAGGCCUCAUCAGUGUCACCAGAUGUUACAGUAGCUGCAGAUGGAACUGGGAAUUAUACUACUGUGAUGGAUGCAGUCCAAGCAGCCCCUGAUUACAGCCAGAACCACUAUGUAAUCUACAUCAAGCAAGGCAUUUAUAGGGAGAAUGUGGAGAUCAAGAAGAAGAAAUGGAACCUGAUGAUGGUCGGAGAUGGGAUGGGCGCUACUGUCAUUACUGGAAACCGGAGCUACAUCGAUGGCUGGACUACAUAUGCAUCUGCAACCUUUGGUAUGAGUUCAUUGAGUUGUGUCUUAAUUUUUGGCAUGCCAUUUUCUUCCACCAUGACCCCAUGCUUUUGAAUAUAGAGAAAGAGAAAUUAAUGCUUUGCAUUCAAGUUUAGGAUGCAAAAGACUAGGAAAAAUCUCUGCCCAACUACCAACCAAGCUGGAGUCAACCUAAUAGUUUUAACUAAUUUGGCAUAAUGGAAUGCAGCUGU
rnacentral:lncRNA from 1 species